AUGAACGCUGGCGGCGUGCCUAACACAUGCAAGUCGAACGGAGAAUUACGCUGAUGAAGCUUCGGCAGAUUCUUGUAAAUUCUUAGUGGCGGACGGGUGAGUAACGCGUGGGCAACCUGCCUCAUACUGGGGGGAUAACAGCUGGAAACGGCUGUUAAUACCGCAUAAGCGCACGGUAUCGCAUGAUACAGUGUGAAAAACUCCGGUGGUAUGAGAUGGGCCCGCGUCAGAUUAGCCAGUUGGCAGGGUAACGGCCUACCAAAGCGACGAUCUGUAGCCGGCCUGAGAGGGCGGACGGCCACAUUGGGACUGAGACACGGCCCAAACUCCUACGGGAGGCAGCAGUGGGGGAUAUUGCACAAUGGAGGAAACUCUGAUGCAGCGACGCCGCGUGAGUGAAGAAGUAUUUCGGUAUGUAAAGCUCUAUCAGCAGGGAAGAAAGACUCGUAAGAGAGAUGACGGUACCUGACUAAGAAGCCCCGGCUAACUACGUGCCAGCCGCCGC
rnacentral:rRNA from 1 species